rnacentral:rRNA from 1 species
UACGAAGGGGGCUAGCGUUGCUCGGAAUUACUGGGCGUAAAGCGCACGUAGGCGGCUUGUUAAGUCAGGGGUGAAAUCCUGGAGCUCAACUCCAGACUGCCUUUGAUACUGGCGAGCUUGAGUUCGGGAGAGGUGAGUGGAACUGCGAGUGUAGAGGUGAAAUUCGUAGAUAUUCGCAAAGAACACCAGUGGCGAAGGCGGCUCACUGGCCCGAUACUGACGCUGAGGUGCGAAAGCGUGGGGAGCAAACAGG